UUGUGCAUAAAACAAGAAAAAAAAUCUGCCAAUGGGGUAAGCAAAAAAUCUUGAACAUUUUUCUUAAACAUUAAAUUCAAGAAAAAUUCUAUAAAAAAAUUGCUUAACCCAUUGGCAGAUUUUUUUGCUUGUUUUAUGCACAAAAUCACUUAAAUUUGAUAUUUUUGGUCUUAAAACUAGAUUUUUGCUCAUCAAGACAAAGCAUCUUAAUUAUGAAUUUUUACUGAAAACAAGACCAAAAUAAUAAGAUUUUUUUUCUUGAAAAUCUACCUUUCUUAGUAUUUUUGUCUUGUUUUCAGUAGAACUAUCUAAAGACAAAAAGUAUACAAUUUAAGUGAAUUUGUGCUUAAAACAAGCAAAAAUAUUAGCCAAUGGGGUGAGAAAAUUAUGCUUAAAUUAAGUUUUUAGGAAAAAAUCAAUCUUUUUAGAUUUUUUUUCUCACCCCAUUGGCAGAUAUUUUUGCUUGUUUUAAUCACAAAUUCACUUAAAUUGUAUUUUUUUGUCUAAAAACUAGACUUAUUUUCUUAGGUCAUUUUGCUCAUCAAGAAAAAGCAUCUUAAUUUAAGAAUUUUUAGAUAUUUCUAUUGAAAACAAGACAAAAAUACUAAGUAAGAAAGUCACUUUUGCAGUGUAAGUCGCACAGGUAUUGUUUGAUUUUUCAGAACAUUUAACCAAAUGCUUUCAAAAAGUGGUGGGGACAAAAUCAGCCAUUUUAAAAAGUGGUGGGGACAUGUCCCCAGUGUAAAUGACACCUAUGGCCGUCACCAUGGUUAACCGGGCCGGAACCACAAUCGCCGUCCCCGCGCAACAGAGCCACACCGUGCGGCACGUCAGAUGACAAAGAGAUGCAUUUUCCUUCCUUUCCAAGUAUCAACAAGGACGUGUUUCCGACCGUUCGCAAAUGGCGGAUGGCGAAGUAUGAUUGUAUUGCUCAGAUCAAUCAAGCUCCCUGCGAGGGGUCCUGCAGUGUACCUCAGUCGCCCUCGCGCUACAGUGGUAUCGUGAAAAGAACAUCUCCAGAUCUGAUGAUCUGGGUAUAUAUUAUUGCUUGUGUCUAUCGAAAAAAGAAUCACAAUCUCGAUUCAUACCCUGUAUUCAGAUGCUGCAUUCACGUGUUUACAUUAAAACAAUCCAGAUGUUAUGUUGUCAAACUUGCUUACACUCACACAGUGUAAAAUCAAACCCCAUUCAUUCACCAAUCAGACCCGAUCGUUUCUCUCCUUUCUUCUCAUUUGCGACGUUUGGCUGUCACUCGCGUGACGCGAAACAAAGCGGCAAACGUCGGUUUACUUGGUGGAUUUGGAGCGGCAAUUUUCACAGAAAUGAGAGGAAAAACCUGUCUAUGGGAAAAACGAACGCCAUUGCAGAAAAUCAUGGUGGCGACUGAGAGAGGGACGAUGCAACAAUAUUGGUUCCGAAAAAAGGCAAGGAAAUAAGUCACCUCUGAACGUUUCUCAAUUGGAAGCAGGGUUCUAAAUUAACUUUUUUGAUCACCAGCCAAUGUGGCUGGUAACUUUCUAAAGUUACCAGCCAAUCAGCAUUUCCACUAGCCAAAUUUUUUCCGGUGAAAAAGAGAAAUUAUGAAUGCAUUUGAUAAUUUUAUUAACAUUGUUAGUAUGAAAAACACACAUAAAGUGAGGCUUCUCCAAGCAAGGCUCUCUUCAAUACGACCUGUCUUGGCAGUUUUAAUUAACGUUAGACUCUCUGAUGACUUUGGGCACUCUCAUGGUCCUUUAGCCCUACUGCCUCAACUUUAAAAUUAUUUGUUCCCACCACAAAUUGUUCGUUUCGGUUUUUUCUUUCACGUACAUGCAUAUUUUCAACAUUAUACAAUGAUAGGCUAGCAAUGAUUAAUAACUUAUUUUUACAAGAAUAUUCGUACAAUAUUUUAAGAAACCAGUCAUUUUAUGACUGCUAUACUAAAAUAAUCUCAGGUUUAGUUACUGCUAACUGUUUAUGUAUGUCCUAGUUAAACAUUAGUAAACUAAAUAUUAAUUUCAUACAUGUGUUGAUUUUCUCAGCAACAAUGCAAUUCUAUAGACUUGACAAGAGGUUCUCCUGAAAUGUUUUCCUCUAAUGUUUGAGACCUGACAGGGUGUGAGGAUGUACUUUUCUCUUACCUCCCUUAGUCUCAUCAUCUUUCCUUUCUGCUUCCCUUUCCCUGCUUUGCAAAAAACAUUUCUGACGUCCACAGAAGCCAAUAGUAAUCGAGUCAAAAUAAGAUUAACAUUAUAAUUUAGAAACUUACUUAGUUUCGUCAUGUUUUUAUAAGCUAACAUAAUCGCGUGACGUUGAAUGCGGUUGUGCGUGGAUAAACGCAAUGACGCGCCGACAUGGCUUUGUGCGUGUAUGCAUCAGUGCGCCUGCUGUAUCGCUUAUUCGCUUUUACAAGCGCAUAUAGAUCCGUUUUUGCCGCUAUUAUCUUUGUAAAGGAAUACACUAGUUAACUGCUAAAAUCUUAACUUGAGAUUUACACCGGGGCACAACAGAUUUAGACUAUGGCAUGUGCCGCCUUCCUUGUGUGUUAUUGUGGAUGCGCUCCGUUCAUUUCCAUGGUUUCUCGCGCUGGUUUCACUGCAAACUGCGCGCAGCCAAUGGGUGUAUGAAACAUCAUCACGUAGCAUUACGGUACAGUGUUCAUGGGAAAUGUAGGAAGUACUGCCAGAGGAAUAAAUGUCCGAGAACAAAGCAUUAUGUAUCAUGCAUGCAAUGCCUCAUGCAUCACCGUCCAAACUGGCUAGUAAGUUUUUAUGAACACCCGCCAAAAUUAAUUUUAACCCGCAUUUGGCGGGUUGGCGGGUGUUAAUUUAGAACCCUGAUUGGAAGGCUGCAGAGGUCUCAUAUGCAGGCUGCAUACGUCAUCGAGCCUGGUUUAACCCAACUGAGCAUUACAUUCGGAAGUCAUAAACAUAUUACAACAAUUUACGAUUAACCAAGAAUAAUAGUAAACUUUAUAAUUGUGAAUAUUGUGAAUCUUGAUGACGUAUGUGUCAUGAUAAGUGAGUAUUUCAUGAUAUGUGUAAAAAUGCGACCUCCGGAUGGCUGCAGCCUAGGAUUGAGAAACGGCCUCUGUAUCAUCGUUUGUUUCAAAGGUUUCGUGUUUUAAAGUUGACCAGUUUGAUUAAAAUAAAUAGCACCUGUACUUUUUUGUACAAUUACUUUUAUUUAUUAGUGUCAACCCUCUAUUGUUUAUGUUUAACAGCUAACAAAGUGACUCAUCUACAGGGGUCUAAAAUUAGGAAAAGAGACCUUUUAGACACUUUAUUAUAACUAAAGGUCCUGUGUAGCACAUUUUUACAGAUAUUUGUAUUAAAAAAUACUCUGGUAAAAGUAGAAGUACUGAUUUAACUUCUUUACUCAAGUAAAAGUACCAAAGUACAGGCUUGGAAAUUUACUUAAAGGGAUAGUUCAUCCAAAAAUGACAAUUCUGUCAUCAUUUACUCCCCCUCAUGUUGUUACAAACCUGUAUAGACGGUUUCAUCGGACGCACGUGAUUCAUGUCUGGAUCCGAACUUUACUUCCGGUUUUGUUUUUUUAAUGGUCUGACUAGUUGCUAAACUGAUCUCUUGAACAAAUGCCUCGUCUAAAAUAACAAAUGUUUUGGUUUCCUAGGUAAUCAAUGUGUUGUUGUUUUUUGCUUGUUAUAUAAAUAAACUACGUUUAAAGUA